ACUGCUACAUCAUCCUCAUCCUCACCUGUGAGGAAAAGUUCAUCAAGAAAAAGACGGCAGGAGAGGUUUCAGUCAAGAUUGGUCACACUACGGGAACAUCAUAACAAUUGCUCCAAGCGCUUUAAUAGAGCAGAAGUUGAAAAAACCAACAGAACAAAAAAGACUGCCAUACUUGAGGAUUGCGUUGUAUUCGAGUCUUCUGAUGCACCAUGUGCUAUGUGUACCUCUGUAAAGGCAUCACCACCCUCUCGCCCUUCUCCACUCCCCUCAUCAUCAUCAUCAUCAGCUGCCCCUGUGAUGGGCACAUCAUCUUCAUCCUCCCCAUCAUCACCUGCCCCUUUGCCCUGUGAUGCAUCCACUUCUGUGAUCUCUCCAUCACAGGUGUCCCAGACACUCUCAAUAAGGGAGGUUCAUCAAUCCCUUCAAAAAGAAAAUGGGAAGACUCUGAGGUAAAAGCAGUUGAAAAACAUAUGAUGAAGUUCAUAAAGACCUGCAGAGUUCCUGGUAAGCAAGACUGAGAGAUGCAUUAAAGCAGAGUCAGAAGCCUUAAAGGAACAAACAUGGACUGGUGUGAAAAAUUAUGUGCGGAACAGGAUCACAACUU